rnacentral:rRNA from 1 species
CCCUAUGGGGCGCGGCAGACUUCUUUUUCAACACCGAAGCCAUGGCACGGUUGUAGUUGAACUCAGCAUCCAGUUCGGGGUUUCCGGUGACAAUCACGUUGAAGUUCUUCAUCUUCUCCGCAACCACUUCUUCGUGAAGGUCCGGGUUCUGCGCCCUGAAUGCGUUGAGUGUGCGCUGGUAUGACUUCUGGUAGUUGGUCUGCUGCUCUACUUCGCUGCGCCUCUUCUGCGCUUCCAACUGUUCCCACUCCCUGCGGGUAAGGGGCCGGUCGAGGUCUUCUUCCUGGACCGGGGCUUGGGCAGGGUGAUUGGGUUGUAGUUUGGGAACGAUGUUGGAGAUUAGUUCCAUGAGUUCGUUGUGCUGUCUGCGAGUUUCCAACAGCUCUUGCUCUAACUUGUCAACCCUUUGGGC